AGAGUUUGAUCAUGGCUCAGGAUAAACGCUGGCGGCGCACAUAAGACAUGCAAGUCGAACGAACUUAACUCAUUCUUUUAGUUUGAGAGCGGUUAGUGGCGGACUGGUGAGUAACACGUAAGCAACCUGCCUAUUAGAGGGGAAUAACAGUGAGAAAUCAUUGCUAAUACCGCAUAUGCUAACAGUAUCGCAUGAUACAGUUAGGAAAGGAGUAAUCCGCUAAUAGAUGGGCUUGCGCCUGAUUAGCUAGUUGGUGGGGCAAUGGCCUACCAAGGCGACGAUCAGUAGCCGGACUGAGAGGUUGAACGGCCACAUUGGGACUGAGAUACGGCCCAGACUCCUACGGGAGGCAGCAGUCGGGAAUAUUGCGCAAUGGAGGAAACUCUGACGCAGUGACGCCGCGUAUAGGAAGAAGGUUUUCGGAUUGUAAACUAUUGUCGUUAGGGAAGAUACAAGACAGUACCUAAGGAGGAAGCCCCGGCUAACUAUGUGCCAGCAGCCGCGGUAAUACAUAGGGGGCAAGCGUUAUCCGGAAUUAUUGGGUGUAAAGGGUGCGUAGACGGAGGAGCAAGUUGGUUGUGAAAUCCCUCGGCUUAACUGAGGAACUGCAACCAAAACUACUUCCCUUGAGUGUCGGAGAGGAAAGUGGAAUUCCUAGUGUAGCGGUGAAAUGCGUAGAUAUUAGGAGGAACACCAGUGGCGAAGGCGACUUUCUGGACGAUAACUGACGUUGAGGCACGAAAGUGUGGGGAGCAAACAGGAUUAGAUACCCUGGUAGUCCACACCGUAAACGAUGGAUA
rnacentral:rRNA from 1 species